rnacentral:lncRNA from 11 species
CUGGUCUAUACUGUAGAAUUAACCCAGUUUGACGCUACUUUCACUGCCACAGAUCAAUGCAAAACCUUGGGAUUUAUAAUGUGGAAGCAGAGAAGACUAAAAGUUUUUGGCAAACUAAAACUUCCUUUGAUUCCAUGCCAUAGGGCACUUAAAGGGGUAUCAAACUGAGUUAAUUCUACAGUGUAGACACACUCCCGGACCUGAUUGAAAGGGGAGAGAAAAACAAUCUGCCCCAGUUCCUUUACCUAGGUAUUAAUUAACUAAUAAUAAUAAUAAUCUUUAUUUAUAACCCGCUUUCAUCUCCCCAGGGGGACUCAGAGUGGUUCACAUGGGGACCAAGCCCGAUCAACAGAUAAAACAACACAACAACAUAUAGAAUUAAAACAGUAACAGUAAAAAAAAAUUCAUAAAAUACAUCACUCAAGAGCUAACAUGAUUUCAAACUGCACUAAGAGGCACCUGUAGCUAAGAGUUAACAUGAAAUGACAUAGCAAAGAUCAUUAAAUCUAUUAAAAGACAUUAUUAAAAGAGGAAAAAGCAUUAAAAGGGACCAAAGCUUUGCAUUGCUUGGGAUCCUUGCUCCCACCCAGCCUUCUUACCUGGACGGUGGAAAAAAAAACCCAAAGAGAGCAGGUUCAACUGCAGAGGCAAGCGCGCGUCGAGACGUCCGGUGCGAAGAUGCUGCUCUCCAUCGGGGCUUGGCUCUUAUACCCCUCCCCACUCCCCUCCCCGCCUUUCCCAAACCACACCCACCCCUCCCCUCCCGCCAUGACGUCACCGGCAGGUGAAACUGGCGCCUUGGGACAGGAAACAGAACAAGGGGGAGCGAAAGAUAUAUCCCAGCUGAACUUGCUAACCGAAAGGUUGGUGGUUUGAAUCCGGGGCGUGGAGUGAGCUUCUGCUGUUAGCCCCAGCUUCUGCCAACCUAGCAGUUUGAAAACAUGCAAAUGUGAGUAGAUCAAUGGGUACCACUUCUGCGGGAAGGUAACAGCACUCCAUGCAGUCAUGCUGGCCACAUGACUUUGGAGGUGUCUAUGGACAAUGCCGACUCUUCAGCUUAGAAAUGGAGAUGAGCACCAACCCCUAGGAGUCGGUCAUGACUAGGACUUAAUGUCAGGAAACCUUUCCCUUUCCCUUUUUAUACAAAAAACACCAACAUACGAAAACACAGAAGCUCAACCCCCCCCCCCCAAAUUUGGGGGGGGGGGGGG